CUUUUAAGUACCUCUACUGUGUAAGAGUUUCUCAAACUUUAGAGUAAUAAAAUCAUAGAGAGGGCUUAUUAAAACAAAGGUUGCUUGACUCCAACCUCAGAGUCUCUGUUCAGUAAGGCUGGGUAGAGCCUGAGAAUUUGCAUUUCUAAAAUUCCCAAGGGACGCUCAUAUGGCUGGUCCAGGUCCACCACUUGGGAACCACUGGACUCUGUGAAAAUCACUAAAUAAGACACUUAACUCACAUUGUCUUCUUGAUUAUUUUUCUGUAAGAUGAAAACCCAAGGAUCCUAUUCUACUUGGUAUUUUCAAUCAAGCUAGUCAUCUUUAGAAAUCUAGAAUUUUUUACAAAGAAAUCUAAAUUAAGACUAUCUGCCAAGCAUUAGGCGUAUUUAUAACAACAUGUUUAGAAACAACACCACAAAUAAUAAAAUGAAUAGAUAUUACCAGUUUCAUAAUUUACCUAGCAAGGAAGACGCCAAAAAUAAUUAGAGGUUUCAGCUCUGCAAAGCUAAUUUAGCUUAUUCUUAUCUGUACGCAUUAUCUCUUUCCUAAGAGCUCUGAGUGUGUUUAGUAAAUUAAUUGAUUCUGCUCAAAAAAUUUUAAAUUAAAAAAAGCAAUGAAACCAAGAUUGUUUGUUAUCAUAUAUAUAUAAAAUAACUAAUUGGCUCUCUUCAUUGUGUAGCAAUGUUAACCAAAGAUUGGAUGGUUUUGCUAAUUUACCACCUAAUAAUGUGUUUAGGAAGAUGCUAAUAAUAAAAUGCCACCAAAAUUUCACAUAUGACUUCAGUUUAUUUGGUUUUGUUUUUUAUCUGUUUCUUAACCCAAAUCAAGCAUUAUGAUUGUUAUAGUAACAAUGGUAUUCAAAGGGCAUUUCCUGAGUGAAUAAUUUUUUGGCUCUAUUGAGGGAAACUUCAAAAUUAGGUAAUCCAUUCCCUUUUCUGAACUGAAAUGUUUUAGGCUCCAUAAAAUCUGGAAACAUAUGUGUAAUAAUCAUGCCUAAAAAUAAGGACAAAGAUUACAGGACCCCAAUAUUAAAGAUAUAACUUCAAAUUUUCCUGCAGAAGAGAGCCCAAACCAAUGGUUUUAAUUUUGAAACAUAAGGUUAUCAUCUGUUUUUCAUGCUGAUUUUAACUGAGCUAUCUCACUAAUUCUUAUUGUAUCCACCCUCACUCCAAAACAGAGCUGGACACUCCAUUUGUCCGCGUGUCGCAAAUGAGGAGACAAUGAUACACAGGUGAUUUUGUAUCAUUCGUAUGUGUUUAUCUUAGCCCCAAAGAAAACUAUGUUUCCCAGGAUCAUUUUUUAGGUAUCCAAAAAGGAUCUUUCUUAUAUUGAAUUAUAUCCACACGUAUAACGUAUAACUAGAUUCAAGGUUUAGACUCCAUUCGCUUUCCUGUGUUCUUAGGCUUGGCUACACUCUGCACUUCCAUGAGAAGCGUUAGAAAAUACUGUUGCCUGGGUCUCAACCAGAGAAAAUUGGAUUUAAUUGGUCUGUGGUUCCCUAACCAGAAUUCCAGAGAGCAUAUGACAUACCAGGCACUGGGCAAGCGAUAGGAACACAGUGAUGAACAAACAUAAAGGUGAUAUAUGGAUACUACUGUUCUAAUAUGAUAAUGCAAUAUCCAAAUAUUGAGUGGCAAUGGAGAUUUUAAAAGGUGACAAUCUUAUUCUUUAAAAUGAUAUAAUCUAAACCACACAUUAAUAAGUAUUUUGCAAUAUAUAUUUCAGGAGACUAUAGGUAGGUAGAUUUAAAGACACCACCAAGCUGCUGAAAUUCCAUUAACCUCAAGUUAUCCUGAAAACCAAGUCAGUGAAUGAGACCUUCUGACCCACCCAUGGACAGAUGGGAAAACACAUGUCAAUUUGUACAUUAAAUUCUGUAAAACUUGACUUCUUUAUUUCUUAUUUUAAUGUAAAUUAAAUAUAAAUAAAAAUUUUCUUUGUUAUAUUACAUUAGAGACCAUUAUUCUAAAUAAUUUCUCUUUUAGUAAUAAUGUCUGCAUCAUGUUCUACAAAGGAAUUUAUGGCACUAUGUUGGAAAACACCCUUAUAUUAAAGUAUAAGGGAGAGAAUGGAAGAGUAUUCAGAGCAAACAUAUUUCCCAAUACUUUUUUUUCACUCUCUUCUGGCUAUAAUUUACUCACUUAUUUGUGCUGUUAGAUUUUCCAAUCAGUAUUUAAUAAUCUUGACUCACUUCAAACUGAAGGAAUAAAGAAAACAUUAUGAAAGAAGUAAGGCCUAGGAUGUCUGGCAGGUGGGAGUAGGG